rnacentral:rRNA from 1 species
UGGGGAAUAUUGCACAAUGGGGGAAACCCUGAUGCAGCAACGCCGCGUGAAGGAUGAAGGUUUUCGGAUCGUAAACUUCUAUCAACAGGGACGAAACAAAUGACGGUACCUGAAUAAGAAGCCCCGGCUAACUACGUGCCAGCAGCCGCGGUAAUACGUAGGGGGCAAGCGUUAUCCGGAAUUACUGGGUGUAAAGGGAGCGUAGGCGGCACGUCAAGCCAGAUGUGAAAGCCCGGGGCUUAACCCCGUGGAUUGCAUUUGGAGCUGGCGAGCUAGAGUACAGGAGAGGAAAGCGGAAUUCCUAGUGUAGCGGUGAAAUGCGUAGAUAUUAGGAAGAACACCAGUGGCGAAGGCGGCUUUCUGGACUGAAACUGACGCUGAGGCUCGAAAGCGUGGGGAGCAAACAGGAUUAGAUACC